rnacentral:rRNA from 1 species
GUGUCAGCAGCCGCGGUAAUACGGAGGGGGCUAGCGUUAUUCGGAAUUAUUGGGCGUAAAGGGCGUGCAGGCGGCUUCAUAUGUCCCAUGUGAAAGCCCUCGGCUUAACCGGGGAAUUGCAUGGGAAACUGUGGAGCUUGAGUCCGGGAGAGGAGAGCGGAAUUCCCAGUGUAGCGGUGAAAUGCGUAGAUAUUGGGAGGAACACCGGUGGCGAAGGCGGCUCUCUGGACCGGUACUGACGCUGAGACGCGAAAGCUAGGGGAGCAAACGGGAUUAGAUACCCUAGUAGUCC